rnacentral:rRNA from 1 species
CAUGUCUUUUUGAAUUUAAUUUAAAGUCUAAUCUGCCCACUGAUUUAAAAUUAAAGGGCUGCAGUAAUUUGACUGUACAAAGGUAGCAUAAUCAUUAGUCUUUUAAUUGAAGACUUGUAUGAAAGAUUUGAUGAGAUAUAAACUGUCUCUUAUUUAUAAUUAAAAUUUAAUUUUUUAGUUAAAAAGCUAAAAUAAAUUUAAAAGACGAGAAGACCCUAUAGAGUUUUAUAAUUUAUAAAUUAAAAUAUUUAUAUAAAAUUUUAAUAUUAAAUUUUGUUAAUUAUUUUAUUGGGGUGAUAAAAAAAUUUAAAAAACUUUUUUUUAAAAAUUUUCAUAAAUAAAUGAAUAAAUGAUCUUGAAUAAUGAUUAAAAGAAAAAAUUACCUUAGGGAUAACAGCGUAAUAUUUUUUUUUAGUACAAAUAAAAAAAAAAGUUUGCGACCUCGAUGUUGGAUUAAGAUAAAAUUUAAAUGCAAAAGUUUAAAAUUUUGAUCUGUUCGAUCAUUAAAAUCUUACAUGAU